ACGCACGCUGGCGGCGUGCUUCACCCCUGCCAGUCGCACGGAAAGGCCCUGCUUUUGUGGGGUUCUCGAGUGGCGAACGGGUGAGUAACACGUGAGUAACCUGCCCUUGACUUUGGGAUAACUUCAGGAAACUGGGGCUAAUACCGGAUAGGAGCUCCUGCUGCAUGGUGGGGGUUGGAAAGUUUCGGCGGUUGGGGUUGGACUCGCGGCUUUUCAGCUUGUUGGUGGGGUAGUGGCUUACCAAGGCUUUGACGGGUAGCCGGCCUGAGAGGGUGACCGGCCACAUUGGGACUGAGAUACGGCCCAGACUCCUACGGGAGGCAGCAGUGGGGAAUAUUGCACAAUGGGCGGAAGCCUGAUGCAGCAACGCCGCGUGCGGGAUGACGGCCUUCGGGUUGUAAACCGCUUUCGCCUGUGACGAAGCGUGAGUGACGGUAAUGGGUAAAGAAGCACCGGCUAACUACGUG
rnacentral:rRNA from 1 species